rnacentral:lncRNA from 1 species
UACCGGCGUGACGCGUCGUGCGCAUGUCUAGGGGUCGGUGGCGUCCAGCGGCAGCGGGGCACGCGCACCGGUGCAUCGUGCGAAUGGAAGUGGUGUGGCAGUGGCAACCCCGGCGGAGGGGGAGGCAAUAUGUUGUGCAGCGUGCGUAUGUCAGCAUGUGCUUGCAGCAGCUGUUGAGAGUCGCGCGCGUGCGGUGGCGUGUGUGCGCGACAGCGGCAGGCCAGCUGCCGAGGCAGCCCCACAGCAGCAACCCCCGACACUCCAGCCUGCCUUCAGACGUUACUCACCUGUGCCGCCUCCCCUCACUACUUUCCGCCACACCGCACCGCACUCUACACACCCUGCACACCUGUCCUGCGCACGCCUGCUUGCCUUGCUCGUCGUCGCACACGCACACACGCACGCAUCUCGCACGGCCUGGACGCGGACGCCGAUUGGACCUCGUCGUCGCCCGGACCUACCUCGCGGACCUGCGCUCGCGACAUGCCAACAUCAACACCAACAACAUCACGGACCCGCAACAUCGACUGCGCCAUGUAUCGCCAAUCCUCCUGCCACUCAUCUACGAUGCCACGCCGCGCGCCCGUCGCCUCUCGCCACGCCACCACCACGCCACCGCCACGCCACCGCCAAUCCAAUCCGAAUCUGGCCCUCGCCGGCGCUUCGGUCACCCGCGCUGCACCGGGCACACACACGCCACUGCCCAGGUGC